rnacentral:rRNA from 1 species
UAGGGAAUAUUGCGCAAUGGGGGAAACCCUGACGCAGCAACGCCGCGUGGAGGAUGACACUUUUCGGAGCGUAAACUCCUUUUCUUAGGGAAGAAUUCUGACGGUAUCUAAGGAAUAAGCACCGGCUAACUCCGUGCUAGCAGCCGCGGUAAUACGGAGGGUGCAAGCGUUACUCGGAAUCACUGGGCGUAAAGGGCGCGUAGGCGGAUUAUCAAGUCUCUUGUGAAAUCCAAUGGCUUAACCAGUGAACUGCUUGGGAAACUGAUAGUCUAGAGUGAGGGAGAGGCAGGUGGAAUUUGUGGUGUAGGGGUAAAAUCCGUAGAUAUCAGCAAGAAUACCCAUUGCGAAGGCGAUCUGCUGGAACUAGACUGACGCUAAGGCGCGAAAGCGUGGGGAGCAAACA